AGCUCCAAUAGCGUAUACUAAAGUUGUUGCAGUUAAAACGCUCGUAGUCGGAUUUCGUGGUCGGGCGACAGGUCUCCUUCACAGGUGCACUUGUCGGCUUGCCAUUCUUACCGGAACGGCUGCACUUUUUUAACUAAACGUGCAGUUGGAACGGUUUAUUUACUUUGAAAAAAUCAGAGUGUUUCAAGCAGGCAGCUCGCUCUUGCAUGGAUUAGCAUGGGAUAAUGAAAUAGGACUUUGGUGCUAUUUUGUUGGUUUCGAACACCGAAGUAAUGAUUAAAAGGGACAGUCAGGGGCACUCGUAUUCCGCCGAGAGAGGUGAAAUUCUCAGACCAGCGGAAGACGAACCACUGCGAAAGCAUUUGCCAGGGAUGUUUUCA
rnacentral:rRNA from 1 species